rnacentral:rRNA from 1 species
UACGUAGGGUGCAAGCGUUAAUCGGAAUUACUGGGCGUAAAGCGUGCGCAGGCGGUUAUGUAAGACAGAUGUGAAAUGCCCGGGCUUAACCUGGGAACUGCAUUUGUGACUGCAUGGCUAGAGUUUGGCAGAGGGGGGGUAGAAUUCCACGUGUAGCAGUGAAAUGCGUAGAUAUGUGGAGGAACACCGAUGGCGAAGGCAGCCCCCUGGGUCAAGACUGACGCUCAUGCACGAAAGCGUGGGGAGCAAACGAGG